GGGCAGGUAAGCCUAGCGGCGAAGGCGGCGGACUGUAAAUCCGUUACAAUAGAAACACCGUUGGUUCGAGUCCAACUCUGCCCA
rnacentral:tRNA from 1 species